AUUCAGGAAGAGUGCUCCUCUGGGAACGCCCCACCAGGCAAAGCUGGAGAAAGGCCGGAAGGGCGUGUCCUGUCCAACCUCAGGCCGGUUCACUCAUUGCAAUCAGGAAAUGCCUAAUACAGAAGAUGCCAGAAUCUUUCUUUUUUCCUGCGGCUGCACUCCACCUUCCAUAUCUCAGGAAAGUGGUCUUGGUUUGGUUUUGGUCUGGGUCUUUUUAUAUGUUCAUGUGAUUUUUUUUUUCUUUCUUUGAUUUUGUUGUUGUUUUGAUUCCAAAAUGGAAAGACUUAAUUGGUUUCCAGAGUAGGAAACACCCAAUUUCUGCUCUAGUUUUUGUCUUUUUCAUAUCCUGAGGUUAAUCAUGUUGAAGACACAAAAAGCAGAUAUAGGGCAUAUCAGCCUCCUCAAUGUUCAGUAACUUAUUUUUACACGAACUUAGCUUCUGAUUAGCUGCUAGUUAACAUACAAUCCAAAGCUGCAGUCUUACCCCUAUGAAAGAGUAUCUGCAAACAGUGCCUUCUUCGUCUCUGGCUGGAAGUCCCCGUGAAUGAAAAUUUACAUAUGUGCUUCAGUUGAACCAAGUAAAACUUUUAUCAAAAAGUUUUAUCAAAUAAACCUUAAACACAUGAAAAUGAUACUCUUUAGCUAUAAUGUCUACCCACGAAAGGUCGUUUUAAAGCAGGUGCUGUUACAUUUGAUAAAUUGAGUGGAUUCUCUAUUUCAACUGCAGGGGUAUGUUCUGAAAUUUUGGAUAUUUGGAAGGACCUCAGGAAUGGCCAGAAAUGCUACUGGUGGUGGUUUAAUUUUAACAGAUUGAUCUGAUUGUAAAGGAAUAAUGCUACUAACACCCCCUUUCAUUUAGAGACAUCUUAGACACAGCUCCAAACUUUGAAAACCACGUAAGACUACUAAUAGAAGAAUUACUUCACGUUUAGGAGAUGUUUGAUGGUGAUUUCUUCAGCUCAUCUGACCAAGACCGUUGGCUUCAGAACAAGA
rnacentral:lncRNA from 1 species